GAAACGCGAACCAAGCAGCGGAAAUCCGCACAAGACUGGAGCGGACACCCGCAAGGGCGUCCUGCA
ncrna:unclassified sequences Transposase-2 RNA